rnacentral:rRNA from 1 species
AUUGAACGCUGGCGGCAGGCCUAACACAUGCAAGUCGAGCGGAUGAAGGGAGCUUGCUCCUGGAUUCAGCGGCGGACGGGUGAGUAAUGCCUAGGAAUCUGCCUGGUAGUGGGGGAUAACGUCCGGAAACGGGCGCUAAUACCGCAUACGUCCUGAGGGGGAAAGUGGGGGAUCUUCGGACCUCACGCUAUCAGAUGAGCCUAGGUCGGAUUAGCUAGUUGGUGGGGUAAAGGCCUACCAAGGCGACGAUCCGUAACUGGUCUGAGAGGAUGAUCAGUCACACUGGAACUGAGACACGGUCCAGACUCCUACGGGAGGCAGCAGUGGGGAAUAUUGGACAAUGGGCGAAAGCCUGAUCCAGCCAUGCCGCGUGUGUGAAGAAGGUCUUCGGAUUGUAAAGCACUUUAAGUUGGGAGGAAGGGCAGUAAGUUAAUACCUGGCUGUUUUGACGUUACCAACAGAAUAAGCACCGGCUAACUUCGUG